GCGCCGGUGAUGUAAGGCGAACAUCGCUACCUGGAAAGCAGAUGUGGGUUCGAGUCCUGCCUGGCGCA
rfam:Heligmosomoides polygyrus genome assembly, scaffold: HPBE_scaffold0004049